rnacentral:rRNA from 1 species
AUUGAACGCUGGCGGCAUGCUUUACACAUGCAAGUCGAACGGUAACCGGCCUCCGGGUGCUGACGAGUGGCGAACGGGUGAGUAAUGCAUCGGAACGUGCCCAGAGGUGGGGGAUAACGCAGCGAAAGCUGUGCUAAUACCGCAUGUGAUCUGAGGAUGAAAGCGGGGGACCAGGCAGCAAUGUUUGGCCUCGCGCCUUUGGAGCGGCCGAUGUCAGAUUAGGUAGUUGGUGGGGUAAAGGCCUACCAAGCCGACGAUCUGUAGCUGGUCUGAGAGGACGACCAGCCACACUGGGACUGAGACACGGCCCAGACUCCUACGGGAGGCAGCAGUGGGGAAUUUUGGACAAUGGGCGCAAGCCUGAUCCAGCAAUGCCGCGUGCGGGAAGAAGGCCUUCGGGUUGUAAACCGCUUUUGUACGGAACGAAAAGGCUCUGGCUAAUACCUGGGGCUGAUGACGGUACCGUAAGAAUAAGCACCGGCUAACUACGUG